UUGAUGACAUUCGGUCUCUGUGGCCUCAAGU
rnacentral:piRNA from 1 species